rnacentral:lncRNA from 1 species
GCGGCGACGGCGCCAGCGCGGCGGAGGCGGAGACACCCUGGAGGGCGACGGAGGCGCUUUGAGAGAGAGAGAGAGAUGGGGAGAGGCUGCAAGUUUUUUUGGGGGGGAGAGGCUGCGAUUUUUUUUUUUUUUUUGGGAGAGAGGAUUUGUUUGGUAUUUCCUUUUUGUUUUAAGGGUAUCUUAGUCAUUUCAACCUCAAAAUGGGUACAUUUUAUAUGUUUAAUUUUGGGUGGGUAUAUUUUAUGUUUCAUUU